rnacentral:rRNA from 1 species
UGCGUAGGGGGCAAGCGUUGUCCGGAAUCAUUGGGCGUAAAGAGCGUGUAGGCGGCCAGAUAAGUCCGCAUGUGAAAGUCUCGAAGGCCUCAACUUCGAGCUGUCGGUGGAAACUGUCUGGCUAGAGUCCGGAAGAGGAGAAUGGAAUUCCUGGUGUAGCGGUGAAAUUCGUAGAUAUUCGCAAGAACACCAGUGGCGAAGGCGGCUCACGUGCCCGGUACUGACGCUGAGGCACGAAAGCGUGGGGAGCAAACAGG